AUUGAACGCUGGCGGCAGGCUUAACACAUGCAAGUCGAGCGAGCGGCGGACGGGUGAGUAAUUUCUUGGCAACUGCCUGAUGGAGGGGGAUAAUUACUGGAAACGGUAGCUAAUACCGCAUACCAUCAGAUGUGCCCAGGUGGGAUUAGCUAGUAGGUGGGGUAAUGGCUCACCUAGGCGACGAUCCCUAGCUGGUCUGAGAGGAUGACCAGCCACACGGGAGCUGCGACACGGUCCAGACUCCUAUGGGAGGCAGCAGUGGGGAAUAUUGCACAAUGGGCGCAAGCCUGAUGCAGCCAUGCCGCGUGUGUGAAGAAGGCCUUCGGGUUGGAAAGCACUUUCGGCGAGGAGGCGUUACUCGCAGAAGAAGCACCGGCUAACUCCGUGCCAGCAGCCGCGGUAAUUC
rnacentral:rRNA from 1 species